rnacentral:SRP_RNA from 1 species
AAUGGCGGUCACUGGGAAUCACCAUACCCUUUGUUUGAUUUCGGCAUGGGUGAGAUGAGCGCUGUCCAGGCGACUCCUACCAACCU